AAUGUAAUGUAUUUCCUACAAUAUUAAGGCACCAGAUCCCAUUAUAACUCUAUAAUUAAGCAUGAUUGAGAUAGAGUAGUACUAGGAUGGGUGACCUCUUUUGAAGUCCUAGUGUUUUACAUUC
rfam:Picea glauca, whole genome shotgun sequence.